UACGUAGGAGGCAAGCGUUGUCCGGAUUUAUUGGGCGUAAAGCGCGCGCAGGUGGCCUGCCAAGUCAGUUGUGAAAUUUUAGGGCUUAACCCUAAAGGGUCAACUGAAACUGGCAAGCUAGAGUGCAGCAGAGGAAAGCGGAAUUCCCGGUGUAGUGGUGAAAUGCGUAGAUAUCGGGAGGAACACCAGAGGCGAAAGCGGCUUUCUGGGCUGUAACUGACGCUGAGGCGCGAAGGCUAGGGGAGCAAACAGG
rnacentral:rRNA from 1 species